CAACCAAGUCUUGCCUCUUCGACACCUCUCUCUCUCUCUGGUGAAUUGCCUAUAUCAGCGAAAGCUCUCUGUCUCAUGAAACCUCUCUCAGCCCUCUCUCCCCAGUUUCUAAUUCCUAAAUCCCUAAAUCCUCCACAUUCACGGGGAGCUGACUACGAUGGCCUCGAUUCUCAAGCCGUCCAAGGAGGUGAGAUGGGAAGACAACGGCGGCGUUUGGUUGCCGUUUCCGGAGAGGCAGAGGGCUCACUUCAACAGUGUGUUUGAGAGCAAUGAUUGUUUUCACUACUCAGGUGAUUGCGCCAGUGAAGUGGCCUUCAAGGGGCUAGGGGACUUUUCGAAGAAGGAGCUGGACUCGGAGGCUGAGCUGGCUCUUUUGAAAUUGGGCUUGCCUCAGUGGCGUGGCAUUUUUUCGCCUUUUCCCAUUCAGAUUGAGGUCUAAGAUACGGCACCACUGUCAAUAGAAUCGAUAAGAGGUGCUAUGCUUUCUCUGGGCAAACAGAGAAAACAUGGCACCCUUAUCGAUUCUAUUGACAGAUGAGGAAGGAUUUGUCACGGUGGCCAUAGAGGCGGUUUCGAUCGGCCAUAGAAAAAGAAGUAUUUUGUUGCAGUUCUGUUUGGUAUUUGAGAAAAGUAUGUGUGUGUCUUUAUGCAUAGGCAAAUGAUUCUCUGUGUGUUUGCAUUUGCUUUGAAAGAUCUACUGUGAGAUUUAUAUGCUUGAGUUGCAAUGCUGUACACAUAAUUCACUUCUUGCAGCUCAUCGUAUUUUCAUCUUGACUAAUUAAAAUGACAUUUGUAUGUUACGGUCAUUGCUUUGAUGCAGGCAGUGAUUGAGAAAACCAAUCUGAAUCCCAAGGAAGUUGGGGAUAUUGUUGUCGGUACCGUGUUGGCUCCAGGAUCUCAAAGAGCUAGCUAGCGAAUGCAGGAUGGCUACUUUCUUUGAUGGAAUGGGAAGGGGAUAUUAAUCCUGAAGUAAAGAUCUUUGAACGAGCCUAGAAUUGCCUUCUUUUUAUGGGCGUCACCUCAGAAAAUGUUGCUUAUCAUUUUGGUGUUUCAAGACAGGAGCAAGAUCAGGUUGCAAGUUUAGAAGAUGUAACUGGAGGAGGAUUUGAUAUAUGCCAUGCUGCUGGAAGUGCCCAACAUGGCAGCUAACAUCUUUGAUGCAAAGCGCAGAGUGAUUAGUAAGACAUUCAGUGGUGGCUGUCAAUGUAAAGUUGUUUUGUUUUCAAAUAUGCUUUCUGUUCAAUUUUUAUUGGAUUUGCAUACUAUUUGGAGCUAUGGUUGUUUGAUUUUAAUGUAUGUUUUGGUCAAACAGUAUUUCAAUUGCAUUUUAUACUUUGAGUAUAUUUUUUAUUCUAUUGAAAUGGGUAGGUGCUGUUUUCUUUGAUUUCUGGUAUCAUGAUUUGUGAAUUUUUGUUCUUUGCUCUCAGAAUCAAAUUGGAGGUGAGAGAAGUACGGAUUUUUUAGUCUAGUUUUAUAUUGAAAGAUUGAGGAACGUUGGUGCAUUUUGUUCACUCCCACCUUUUUGUCUAUUUUGGUUUUACUUUGUCUUGGGUUUCUUCAGAGGUUAGCAUGAACUUUUCACAUGAUAUGGAUGAUGAAUAUGAGAAAAGUGGCAGGAGAAUGAACCCAGAAUUUCAAGCUGAAGCAUACUGGACCAGGUACGUACUGUCCUGUUUUACACCUUUUUUUUUCCUGAGUGGCAAGGAUUUUCACAACCUGGCUAUGUUUGAACCUAUAUGAUAUCAACAAAAAUUUGAUCAACAAAUAAAUAAAACUAAUGCAUAUUUGAUCAACCUAUAUGCAUAUUUGAUAAACAAAUCAGUACAACUAACUUGUAAUGUUAUGGCCAUGAAAUGCUCCUGUGCAUUUCAGGUUUGCUCUAUCAAUUAAGCUGCUUAGUCUCAUUGCAGGUAGGAUUGAAACUCUAGCAAUCACAGAAGCCUUUGGAGAAUUUAGGUAACCACUGUUUCUUUCAGUAUCACUGGUGUCCAUAAUCUGAAAUGUUUCUUUGAGUAUCACUGUUGUCCAUUGCUUGUAUUAAACGUAAACACUAAUUUCAGAUCUGGGAAAACACAGCUUGCACACUCACACACACACUGCUUAACUAUACACGUUUGUCUCUCUCCUUAAGUUGUGAUGUCUUAGCAUACUGGAAAUCAUGCCAUCAUUGUGCAAAAUUCGGUUGCGGUCUUUAACUAAAAGUCUGGCAUUUGAGUAGUAAAAUGUUAAGUUUACAUUGACUGACUUGCAUAUCAUUCAGUUUGAUUAACAGAGAAUUGUACACUAUUAAGAAGCAUGUUACUGAAAAAGUUAUAAUUGUGGGUUUUGGACUACUGCAAUGCCAUGCCAAGUGAAGUUGAAUGCCAAUACUGCUUUUACAAUAGUGCAUGCCAUAUCUGGUCUUUCUCGAAUAAUAAACUAGUAGCUACCUAAGAUUUCCAUACUUGAAUAUGCAGUUCAAAGGCAGCAAAUAAGGCAGCUGCUGCAACUGUCCUUGGCAUCCAAGUUGGCUGUAGAUUCAGACCUAAGAUUCCAUGUAGGAGAUGAAUCUAGAGCUAAUGCUGCACAAGAUAAUGAACUAAAUGCUGCACAAGAAUAAUGAACUUGUCCGUCAGAAUCCUCAAGCAUAUGCUGCACAAGAUGGAAUUUGGAUUGCUCGUUGUAGCAUUACCUGUGGGUGAGGAUCAAACACAAUCUUGUAUAGCUGAUGAAAUUGGAAGGCAUAGUUCAAUGAAAUGUUCAAAAUGUUUAUAAAGUUGUAUGUGGU